rnacentral:rRNA from 1 species
UGCUUGGGAAUAUGCCUUUUAGGUGGGGGACAACAGUUGGAAACGACUGCUAAUACCGCAUAAUGUCUACGGACCAAAGGAGGGGAUCUUCGGACCUUUCGCCUUUUAGAUUAGCCCAAGUGAGAUUAGCUAGAUGGUGGGGUAAAUGGCCUACCAUGGCGACGAUCUCUAGCUGGUUUGAGAGGAUGAUCAGCCACACUGGGACUUGAGACACGGCCCAGACUCCUACGGGAGGCAGCAGUGGGGAAUAUUGCGCAAAUGGGCGAAAGCCUGACGCAGCGACGCCGCGUGGGGGAUGAC